rnacentral:rRNA from 1 species
ACGGGAGGCAGCAGUAGGGAAUCUUCCGCAAUGGACGAAAGUCUGACGGAGCAACGCCGCGUGAGUGAUGAAGGUUUUCGGAUCGUAAAGCUCUGUUGUUAGGGAAGAACAAGUGCGAGAGUAACUGCUCGCACCUUGACGGUACCUAACCAGAAAGCCACGGCUAACUACGUGCCAGCAGCCGCGGUAAUACGUAGGUGGCAAGCGUUGUCCGGAAUUAUUGGGCGUAAAGGGCUCGCAGGCGGUUUCUUAAGUCUGAUGUGAAAGCCCCCGGCUCAACCGGGGAGGGUCAUUGGAAACUGGGAAACUUGAGUGCAGAAGAGGAGAGUGGAAUUCCACGUGUAGCGGUGAAAUGCGUAGAGAUGUGGAGGAACACCAGUGGCGAAGGCGACUCUCUGGUCUGUAACUGACGCUGAGGAGCGAAAGCGUGGGGAGCGAACAGGAUUAGAUACCCUGGUA